GGGCGCUCAAGCACAGAAAUUGAUCCACCAUGACCCACAAUGGCACCCCGUGGCCACCGAGUUGCGAGGCGACAGAAAACGAAAACUACAGCAGUGCGUGGCAUGUCGUCGCCCUUUUUGUAAUCCUGGGCUGCUCCUUGCUUGGUACUGUACUUCCGAUCCUCGGCAAGCGUGUUUCUGCCUUUCGCGUGCCCGAGUAUGCCUACGCGAUUGGAAAAUCUGUAGCGACCGGCGUGGUGCUUGGGGUAGCACUUAUUCACAUGCUGAAACCGGCUAACGAGUCCCUCACGAGCGACUGCAUGCCGAGUGCCCUCCGCAACUUCUCCAAGCCGCUCGCCUACAUCAUCUGUAUAGCCUCCGUUGCAGCGAUGCACUCCCUGGAGGCGUGCUUGCGUGUCUUUUUCGAUGGCUUUGGAGCCGUUCGCGACCUCCCCAUUGCCAGUGGGGAGAGCCAACACUUGCUGUCCGGCUCUCAAGCUGGCGGUCACCACUUCCACCCGUCCGCCCCCGCUUUCGAUAGCUGGAAGAGCAGUGGUGGCUUGCAGAUCUUGUCCGCUGUCUUGUUAGAGUUUGGCGUUUCGUUGCACAGCCUGUUCGUCGGCCUCACCGUGGGCAUGUGUGCCGACGCGGAGCUUUACACGCUGAUGUGCGCCUUGUCGUUUCACCAGUUCUUUGAGGGCGUUGCGCUCGGCUCUCGGCUCGUGGAUGCAGCUCUGACCCUGCGCACCGAGUAUGUGCUUGCUGCUGUUUUUGUUCUCUCAGCUCCCCUUGGCACUGCGGUUGGCAUUAUGUGCGUGUGCGAGCACAUAAUCAACACCAAGGGCAGUAUGUACCUUCUAACGCAGGGUAUCCUGGACUCGGUAUGUGCUGGUAUUCUGCUCUACAUCGGGUUUCAGCUACUAGUGGGCGACUUCUACGCCGAUAUGCAGUCGACCGUACACAACGUUCGCUCGCCGCGUGGAUUCCUGCUAGCGAUGCUGGUAGCCUUGUGGGCGGGCGUAAGUAUCAUGGCACUGAUUGGGCAAUACGUGUGAAAGAGUCUCGGAGAGUGAGAGCGCGCGGCUGGCUGCGUGGAGUGGGCAGGAGAGCGUCAACUUGGCUUGUCGUGCUGCCGCCUACACACACACGCACACACCUUUUCUCUGUCCCUUCUUUCACUUCCCCCCCCCAGAACACUUUUCAUCGUGGAACGUCACCAAACAAAGUCGUGACGGACUAGUACAAUGGCACGUUUCCGAACGGCGUGCGACAAGCCGUUCACAUGAGUAGCAUUGCCUACCCCCUCUUGCUCUCUCUGUAACCUAUGUAGUUGUUCGUGUGUCUGCUCGGAUGCAUCAUUUCAUGUGGCUGCACUCUUGCUGCGCUCAUUCCUAGCGUUUCCCCAUCCCUCCUUC
rnacentral:misc_RNA from 1 species